ACAUGUGUUUUCAUGUGUAUCAUUCCAAGUGUUUGCCUGAUGAGUUCAGUCUUAGUGACAGCAAUAAUCACUGGCAGUGCCCAGUUUGCUGGAGCAUUAAGAUGAAGCACUCUAACAAGCAGGAAAUGGGCAUCUCCUUGAAGUUCAGUGUCUCCCCCAUGAAAAAGCAGGUCAUAGACCUUAAUAAAAAGGAAAGGACAGUAAGCAUCCUGGUCCAUUCAGCUGUUGAUGUCCCUCCCAUACAAGGAAGGUGAAUGAGGGGAAGUACUGGAGUUAAGUGGAGUUCAAGGCUGACACACAGCUGCUUCUGCACAACAGUGAUCUGCUAUGGAGCAGGGAGCCAGGGGACAUUGCAAGUAUGUGAUAUAAAGACACGUACCAUGAGCUGGACAAGCUGCAGCUUUGCAAGAACUGCUUCUACCUGUCAAACCCACGGCCCGACAACUGGUUCUGCUACCCUUGCAUAUCUAAUCAUGAGCUGCUUUGGGCUAAAAUAAAAGGUUUUGGGGUUUGGCCAGCCAAAGUCAUGCAGAAAGAAGACAGUCAAGUUUGUGUUCGCUUCUUUGGCCAUACCACCAGAGAGCCUGGAUUCCUUUUGAAAAUAUUCAGGAUAUUACAGUCAAUGUUCACAGAUUACAUGUGAAGCACAGCAUGGGCUUGAAAAAGGCCAGUGAUGAGCUGGAACUGCAUCAGGGCUUCGUCCAUGAAGGAAGGUUCUGGAAGUCUAAGAAUGAUGACUGAGGUGAGAAAGAGACAGAAUCCAGUAUCUCCUUGACCAGUUAUGAACCGCUGAAGGUCACUCAAGAGCCAAGAGCAAAGAAAGGACGAUGUAAUCAGAGUGUGGAGCCCAGAAAGGAAGAACCCGAGCCAGAAAUGGAAGCAGUAAGUUUCAGACAGGAAAUCCCCACAAUGCCUCAGCCAGUUGACAGGGUGUCAGUAUCAACCCAGACCAGGAAGUUAAGUGCCUCUUCCCCAGGAAUGCUGCAUCUGCAUCGAAGUACUAGGAUGACGAGAGACGGUGUCUUUCAGAGCAUGUGCCACGACAAGUAUACCAAAAAUUUUAAUGACUUUAAAGACAGGAUGAAGUCGGAACACAAGCGGGAAACAGAGAGAGUGGUCUGUACAGUGCUGGAAAAGUUGCGUUCUGAAAUGGAAGAAGAAAAAGACAAGCCGUGAACAAAGCUGUAGCCAACCUGCAGGCUGAGAUGCACAGAAAGUGUAAGCAGGUGAAGGAAAAGUGUAAGGAAGCAUUUGUAGAGGAGAUCAAGGAACUAGCGGCGCAGCACAAGCAGCUCAUUUCUCAGAUCAAGAAACAGUGGUGUUACAACUGUGAGGAGGCAGCAGGCCAUGUACCAUGGCUGCUGGAGCUCGGCCUACUGCUCCAUCUAGUGCCAGCAGGAGCACUGGCACAAAGAGCACAACUGCACCUGCCACCAGAAGAGAUGA
rnacentral:lncRNA from 1 species